GAUACAUUCUGAGAAAAAAAUGUUGUUAGGGGAAUUUGUUAUUGUGUGAAAAUUGAAUAUACUUAUGCAAACUAAGGUUCUGGGAUAUCACUAAGUAACAGUCUUAUAGGACCACCAUUUAUGUAUUUUUAACUGAAAUGUCAUUAUGCAGCACAUGAUUGCAUAGCAGGUUGUUAUAGUUCAGAUCUGUAAUAUCCCCCCAAAUCUUAUGUGUUGAAUGCUGGCACUUUGGGGGAAUUGUUUGGAUCAUUAGAGAUCUGACCUUUUCUGUAGAUUAAUCCAUUGAUGCCUGAGUGGACACUGGAGAUGGGACCUUGGUGGAGGAAGCAGGUCAAUGGGCAUAUGCCCUGGAAGGGUUGGUCUUCUUGGCCCCUCCUCUCCCACAUCUCUGUGCUGCCCAGCUGCCAUGAGUUGAGAAACUUUCCUCUAUCAUGUUCUGCUGUCAUGUUGUUUGGCCUUAUCUCAGACCCAAAACAGUGGAGCCAGCAGACCAUGGACUAUAUCCUCUGAAACUAUAAACCAAAAUAUAAUCUUUUCUCUUUUAAGUUGUACUUGCUAAGUAUUUUGGUCACAGCAGUGAAAAUUGGACAUUAAAAAAAUCACAUGGCUUAUGGAGAAAUGCAGUUGGAGUAUAAUGCCCAAGAACUCAGUGAACAUUUUUAAAAAGACAGGAAGCUAAUAACAGUUUUAGCAUGGUUUUACAUAUGUUAAAUGGUUAAAAAAUAUAAAAGC
rnacentral:lncRNA from 1 species